rnacentral:lncRNA from 1 species
AAAAGAACAUGUUCUGCUGGCACCUUGAUUUCUGACCCAGUGAGAGUGUGUUGGACUUAGGACCUUCAGAACUAGUGUUGACUGCAAGAUGAGGCAAAGGCAAAUAGGUGGAAUAACUGGAGAAUAACCCAGAAUGAGACACAGAAAGAGGAUUUUGAAAGGAUUUCCUUGCCUAUUAUCUGCUUUCUGAGAGAGCCACACAAAACAGGGGAAAAAACUGGAGAAUAAUGGUUGUGUCAUCAUGACAAACAACUGACAUAGUUGAGGCCAGUCGAAGGCCCAGAGCAACCCUGGUCCUGUAGUCAGAGACGACUUAUGAAAAUAAAUGAAUCUGGCUCAUUGACUUGAGUUCUUGUACCCAAACUGGAAAGGUGUGGUACCUGACACAGGAACAAAGUCUGUCUGAAAUCAGCUGUCCGGGAUGUCAUUUUCUCUAGUGCAGAGACUCGAUUGCCUAAAUUGGUAGCAGAGGUGGAUGUUUCCUAACAUGAUCUUCCUUGGCCAACAGUGACUGACAUCUGAGAUUCAGAGCCAGGGUUGAGUCCUCCUCACAGGGCGAGUUCUCUGACAAGGAAGUUUUGCAACCUAAUUUACAGCUGGAGCCAAGCUUGUCAGUGAGUGCCAGAGGGAAACUGUCGCAAUCGGCAGGCAAAGUAUAUUCAUUUAACAAGGGGAGUCUCUGAGGAGCUAUCAAAAACUGCUUGCCAUCUUUCCAAAUCAUCUCUGUCUGCAGUGACCAUGUCUUAAUCCUGAAGGAAAACAAGGACAAACCUCUUUUGGCAGUUGGGCCUGAAGCCCCAGAACUUAUGCUGGUCCUGGCACCAAUGAGGACAGAAAUGAUUGAGCACAUGAAUUUGGUGGAAAUUGAUUUUUACUUCUCUGCAGCUAAGUAUGUGGCAGUCUUGGCCACAUGGUGACUCAGCAGAGGAGCCUAUGUACUGGCUGUCCUGAUGCUCUUCCUGAUUCAACUGAUUCUCUACACUUGAUCUUAGCCAAAAGGCCGAGAAGCAAUGAUUCAACUGAUUCUCAAAAGGACACCGCUGCAGGAAUAAACCCACUUCUAAAUAUGGUACACUUGGAAAGUUGUCCAGCUCGCAAUGUCAGAGUCACAGACUUCAUGCACACUCAUCUCAAGUCAAUGUUAUCUAACACAUUUCCACUAAUUAUUGGAUGACACUAGCAAGAAACUCUGAUAUUUUUCACCUAACCUUUGCUAAUUUAAAUGUGGCCAGCCCACCCUCAUACUGCAUUGUGAUGGGGAUAUAAAAGCCAAUGAAAGAUAUCA